rnacentral:lncRNA from 1 species
GGUACCAUAGAGCAGCUGUUGAGAUAAAGAGGCCUCUCAAGUUGCCCCUGACAGAUGGCAUUCAACGUGUGUUUUGGCAUGUAAUACAGGGCUGUAAAAGUUCUUGAUGUUCUGGCUCCUAUUGGGCUGCAGGUAUAUUUUAGGAAUACUAAGAUCUUUUUUUUUCUUUUUUCUUUUUUUUAACUUAUAAUAAAUCUACCCUAGAAGAUGAUAGAUGUUUUUAGAUUCUCAUAUGGAUGGAUGCUGUCCUUUGCAGGUUGCUCUCAUCAAUGUCAAUCUGAAGCAUGGGCUUUUGAUGCUGGGGUCCCUGAAGUAAUCGAAGUCUUGGGUACGAUGGUGGUCGAUUUAUAAGGAGUGCGGAGAGUCUAGUCGAUGAUAAGUAAAUAAGGCACCGCAUGCGGAAAGGUAUAUAGAGGGACUAGGAAAAGUUUACCUUGUCUGGAAUCUC